GACGAACGCUGGCGGCGUGCUUAACACAUGCAAGUCGAACGGAAAGGCCUGCUUUCCCUUGUGGAUUGCGGGUACUCGAGUGGCGAACGGGUGAGUAACACGUGAGUGAUCUGCCCCCAACUUGGGUAUAAGCCUGGGAAACUGGGUCUAAUUCCCGAUAGGACUGCAGGGUGGUGCCUGUGGUGGAAAACGAUUUUCUUGUGGUUGGGGAUGAGCUCGCGGCCUAUCAGCUUGUUGGUGGGGUAAUGGCCUACCAAGGCGGCGACGGGUAGCCGGCCUGAGAGGGUGGACGGCCACAUUGGGACUGAGAUACGGCCCAGACUCCUACGGGAGGCAGCAGUGGGGAAUAUUGCACAAUGGGCGGAAGCCUGAUGCAGCGACGCCGCGUGGGGGAUGACGGCCUUCGGGUUGUAAACUCCUUUCGACCGCGAGGAAGCCACCUGGUUGGAAGGGUGGUGACGGUAGUGGUAGAAGAAGCACCGGCUAACUACGUG
rnacentral:rRNA from 1 species